rnacentral:snRNA from 1 species
GCGAGUUCUAUCGGGUAA